rnacentral:rRNA from 1 species
UACGGAGGAUCCAAGCGUUAUCCGGAUUUAUUGGGUUUAAAGGGUGCGUAGGCGGCCUGUUAAGUCAGGGGUGAAAGACGGUAGCUCAACUAUCGCAGUGCCCUUGAUACUGAUGGGCUUGAAUUGACUAGAGGUAGGCGGAAUGUGACAAGUAGCGGUGAAAUGCAUAGAUAUGUCACAGAACACCAAUUUGCGAAAGGCAGCUUUACUAUGGUAUGAUUUGACGCUGAGGCACGAAAGCGUGGGAUCAAAACAGG